UUCAUUCAUUCAUUUAUUCAAUAACUACACCUUAAGCUUUGCCACUGUGCUCAGUGCUGUAGAAGAUGCAAAGAUGAAAAGAGACACAGCUCUGUCUCCUAUCACCUAGUAGGGAAGGAGAGAAACCAUGUUUAUAAGUAAACAUGUAAGAUAAUUUAGUAAGAGCCAUAAGAGAAGUAAAGACAAAUUCUAUGAGAGUGUAAGGGGUGGGAUUUUGUAGCUAGAAGGAUCAAGGAAGACUCAUAGAGGAGUCUUUGGGCUGGGGAUGAGUGGGGGGCAAUUCCAGACAGAGAGGGAACAGCAUCAGCAAAGGCACAGAGGGAGAAAGUUUGAAUCUGCAGUGAACAGUGAGUAGUUUCGUAUGACUUGGGUAUAGAGUGCAUAAAGGGAAGAGUGAGUAAAAAAUAAGAUUAAGAAUAAAAGUUGGAUAUGUAUUUUGGAGGAUCUUGAAUAUUUAGCUAAGGAGUUAAGAUUUUAUUUCAACUGCUGUGUGACAACGUCAGAGCAGAGAGUUGACAUGGCAUCAGAGGGUCACAUGGACUGGAAGAAGUGGGAUGGGUUGUUAGUCAAUCACAGACAUGAGCCAUAGAGAUCAUCUGAUGCUAUGGCCAUCUACAGGGAGGAAGCCCAAGCCCAGAGGUGAAAUGACUGACCGGAGGGCACUCAGUAACUAGUGACCGAGCUGGAAUGGCAACUCCAAGAAUAUUUUCCAACGGCCAACAACUUUAAAGGAGGAUCACUAAAUGCUAAACAACGUUAAUGUUUAAAGGAAACACUAAACAAUGAUGGAGCAGAAGAUAAAAUGAAAAGAAUUUAGUGGGUCCUCCUCUCACACUGGGAUUUUCUUAUAGGACUCUUAGUCAUUCAAAUCGUCCAGACAGUUGCCAGUCACAGAUUUGAGCUGUGGAGACCAUCCAGGGCUGUCCAUCUACAGGGAGGAGGCCCAGGAUACUGGAAAGGAACCUAAAACGUCUCCUGAAAGAGGAAACCAGAAGCAGAUCAUGUGAGUGCAGUUCAUAUAGAUUAUCAUCUCAAAACACCAUGGUUGUGCUAAAAGGCCGAGAGGGAAAAUGAUCAAAUAAAGCCCAUAUUUCAGAUGAAGAAAAUGAGACAGAAAAUACACGAUUUGCUUCCGGCACUAAGAUGAGUCAAAGAGAAACCAGUGAGAGAGACAUGAACUUAGGCUCUGACCUUUAGAAAGAAGAAAAACAAUUUUAUCAUCACCCUUCCCCCACUUCAAUCCUGGAUCUUUGUGAGAACAAGGAAGGAAAUUGUUAUUCCCCCUAGAAGCAGAGGAAACAUCAGCAACUGGAAGUAACUGUUUAAAAAUGUUGCUUUUUGGUGAAGGACAAAAGCACAAGGUGGGAAGAGCCCAACUCUGAAACACGGCAGCACCUCUCACACAUUCUCUCCUCUAACCCCCCCUCAGCCCCGCGAGCCGGAUCAUCACCCCCAUUUGUCAGAUGAGGACCUGAGGGUCAGAGGUUAGACGGCUUGCCAAGGACAUACAGCUAAGUGAGGAGGCCGGAAUUUCAAACCGGACCUGCCUGAUUCUCAAGGCAGGACGGUGACCUCUUGGCAGCCCUGCCUCUAUGCCAUCGGCAAAGCCUGCUUCCGUAAGAGUGCCACUCUGUCUCAUUUCCGGUGUUUCCUAACAAGCCCCUCAGUGUGCCUCAUCAUGGAUACAGGUGGGAGAACUGGUCUUGGGCUGUGACAGAGGCAUCCGACCUGGAGUCUCCCUGGGGGAUCCCCUAAGUCCUAACAGUGCUGGAACAUGAACAGGAUCUUUCUGUGGAGCCGGUCAGUACCUCACAAAGUGCUGUCAAGGUCCUGGUCCUGGUCCUGGUCCUGGUCCUGGUCCUGGUCCUGGUCCUGGGCGUGCACCUACCUCGGCCCUCCCCUGGGCCUCUCAUGGAACACAGAGUCUGGCAGUCCCGGCACAGGUGGACGGCCACGGUUCGGACACGAUAUUUUGGUUUUAUUCUUUCACAAACACAACUGGGCAAGGCAUCACUGUCAGACUUAAAAAGAAAAAUUUAAGAACUUUUUUAGUAUUACAAUGUUGAAUUUAAAAAUACUUCUUAUGGUGUUGUAUCUAAAAAGCCAAUUUAUUUUCACCAAAGGGAGGCCCUCUGGAGGCAAGAGCCGUUUUUUAAACUCUUCCCCCUGUACAAAAAUAUUUUGGGAGUUAUAUGGAUAUGCAGUACAGAUACU